rnacentral:rRNA from 1 species
AUUGAACGCUGGCGGCAGGCCUAACACAUGCAAGUCGAGCGGGGUUUUCGGACCUAGCGGCGGACGGGUGAGUAAUGCGUAGGAAGCUACCCGAUAGAGGGGGAUACCAGUUGGAAACGGCUGUUAAUACCGCAUAAUGUCUACGGACCAAAGUGUGGGACCUUCGGGCCACAUGCUAUCGGAUGCGCCUACGUGGGAUUAGCUAGUUGGUGGGGUAAUGGCUCACCAAGGCGACGAUCCCUAGCUGGUUUGAGAGGAUGAUCAGCCACCACUGGAACUGAGACACGGUCCAGACUCCUACGGGAGGCAGCAGUGGGGAAUAUUGGACAAUGGGCGCAAGCCUGAUCCAGCCAUGCCGCGUGUGUGAAGAAGGCCUUCGGGUUGUAAAGCACUUUCAGUAGGGAGGAAGGGUGUUGUGUUAAUAGCACAGCAUUUUGACGUUACCUACAGAAGAAGCACCGGCUAACUCUGUGCCAGCCGCCGCUGUAAAAC